rnacentral:rRNA from 1 species
UACAGAGGUGGCAAGCGUUGUUCGGAAUUACUGGGCGUAAAGGGCGCGUAGGCGGUCUUGCAAGUCCCGUGUGAAAUCCCUCGGCUCAACUGAGGAACUGCACGGGAAACUGCCUGGCUUGAGUUCGGGAGAGGGAAGCGGAAUUCCGGGUGUAGCGGUGAAAUGCGUAGAUAUCCGGAGGAACACCGGUGGCGAAGGCGGCUUCCUGGACCGACACUGACGCUGAGGCGCGAAAGCUAGGGGAGCAAACGGG